rnacentral:rRNA from 1 species
UACGGAGGGUGCAAGCGUUGCUCGGAAUCAUUGGGCGUAAAGCGUACGCAGGCUGUUCGUUAAGUCGGGUGUGAAAGCCCAGGGCUCAACCCUGGAAUGGCGCCCGAAACUGGCGAGCUUGAGCGCGGGAGAGGGAAGCGGAAUUCCUGGUGUAGAGGUGAAAUUCGUAGAUAUCAGGAGGAACACCGGUGGCGAAAGCGGCUUCCUGGCCCGACACUGACGCUCAUGUACGAAAGCGUGGGGAGCAAACAGG